rnacentral:rRNA from 1 species
CCCGCUGAAUUAGCAUAUAAGUAAGUGGUGGAAAUUAAACCAAAUGGGAUAUCUUUAGUAAUUGCGAAUGAACAAGGAUAUGCUUAGCUUGACAAAUGGAGCUAUUGGCUUUGAAUUGUAUUUGUGGAAUGUAUUACCAACAGAGGUGCAGGUGCCAGCCUAUUAAAUAAAGCGUCAAUGAGGGUGAGAAUCCUGUUUGUCAUGUGCAGCCCUUUGUGCACGGUGUAUAUUUGCUGAGUCACACUCCUUGGCAUUGGAAUGCAAAGUGGGUGGUAAGUUUCAUGUACAGGUAAACAUGCAAUUGAGACUGAUAGCACACAAGUACCAUGAGGGAAAUGUGAAAAGGACUUUGAAAAGAGAAUUAGAUGAGUUUGUAUUUGCUGAACACAAAGUAAACAGACUUGAUUUGCUUGGUGGGAGUGUUGCACUUGCUUGACAAGAGCUUUGGGCUGUGGGUGUAAUGAUUCUUUCUUUGCAUGCCAGUUUCUAUGUGUACAUCUGAUUACCUUUGCACAUGAAUGAUAAGUCUCCUGUGGGGGGUGGAUUGCAUGUGCAUGUUAUGAUUUGUGUUUUGAUAAAUGUGUCUGGUGUAUGUGUGUGUGUUCCUGUGCUUGGGGAUGCUUCCUUCCUUGGACUUACAAGCCCUGACACACACAUGCUGGCAAAAUGCUUCUGCUUGACCCGUCUUGAAACACGGACCAAGG